AAAAGUUGAAAGGCUCUAAUGUUUAAAAAAGAAAAGUGAAACAAACAGCAAAGCAAAAGCAAAGGUAAAAGCGAAAGCAAAAGCAAGCAACCCAAAAUCAACCAAACUAAAGCAAAAGCUUUUAAAGAGAAAAAAUAUAAAUUAAAAAGAAAAAUAAAACUUAAAAAGCAGUCGCUCCAAAGAAAAUGAAAAAAAAUAAAAUAAAAAAGCAAAUAUGGGUUGGUGGGACGGUUCAGGCGAUAUGGUUAAAUGCUAUCCACACCUCAAUAUUUAUCUGAUUGCUUUUUCCUAUAUGAUACUCGGAUUCACCAGACUUCUCUUAACAAGCAAUCCCUCAAAAUCCAAGAUAAACUUGAACUGAUAAGCGUAGAUAUGCAUGCUCUAUAUAGUAUUUUUUCAAUGACUAUUUUUGAUAAGGAGUGUGGAAAAAAACUUACGUUUUGUUGUAAAUACGGAUGCUGCCAAAAGAUGCUACCCUUGGAAACAAUCGACGAGACCAAGAGAGAAGAGGUAGACAAAAUUUCAAUGACACCACUUUGAGGGUUUUUUUCUUACAGGGAAGGAAAAAAGAAAAAAGCGCUGCCACGUAAUGUUUAGUGAACAGAGUCAAGGUCAAAAAGAGAAUAGUCGAGAUGAAUAACAUGCUAUGUUUUUAAGCCA